ensembl:lncRNA
ACGCAGAGAGAAAUCAGACACUAAAAGAGCAACUCUGUGCAGCAACACCACAGAGACACUGUGAGUUUUUCAUAAGAAGGACAGUUGGAACCUAUUAGUUGAAUUAACAAAAGAUAAAUUUUUAUGUUUUGUGCGUAACAGAAUGAAGUAGCACAAACUUUGGAGAAAGUCCUGUCGUCUCACUCUCGUCUGCAGCAGAACACACGGACACUGAUGCAGAGCUAAGAGAAAGAGCACAGGAACUACACACACUCAGGAGAGAGAGGUGUGUGUGAGAGAGACUACAAGAGGACAAACGUCUGAUUAAAGGAUCAGGGUCAAUACAACUUAACGGGGGACUCGUUUUUUGUUGCACUAGCCAAUAUGGCAGGACUUGUGGCAUGGAUGUAGGGAGCAUUACCCAAAAGUUUUCAGUGUAUCUCAUUGUAGCAGUGCUGUUUUCACAGUGAGCAUGUUUAAAGGAAUAGUUCAACCAAAAAUGUACAUUUUUUGAAAAUGUACACACCCUCAGGCAAUCCAAGACAUAGAUGAGUUUGUUUCUUAAUGGGAACAGAUUUUGAGAAAUUUAACAUUGCAUCACUUGCUCACCGAUGGAUGCUCUGCAGUGAAUGGGUGCCGUCAGAAUGAGAGUCCAAACAGCUGAUAAAAACAUCACAAUAAUUCACAAGUAAACCACAGCACUCCAGUCCAUCAAUUAACAUAUUCUGAAGCAUGUUUGUAAGAAACAAAUCUAUCGUCAAGGCGUUUUAACUUUAAACUGUCAUAAACCAUCUUAAACCGUUUCACUCAUUAGCUGAAAGGAAAUUAUAACCAUACUAACACAGUUAAAAGGAAAAUUUAGAAACCAGCUCAAAGUAACAUAUUUUUAUUUGGAAAACUUAAUAAAAAGCUUUAAUAUUUGCUCAUUUCUGUGGAAUAUUUGCUAAUUUCUUGCUAUAUAGUCUUCCAUUAUAAGUGCAUCAGUGGAAAGAUGAUUUUUGUGUGUUUUCACUCAGUGAUUGUUUGUAGUAAUCAGCAUUAUGUUGUGUUUGUCAGACUGCAGGCUAUGUUAGAGAUUCAGAGGCUUGAAGCUGAAGUAGAGAAUCACAACACAAGGAACAAUGAGAAGCUGAAGAAGGCACUAAAUGAUGCAUCUGCAAAGUCAGGUGACCUCUCACGAGCCAAUCAGGAGCUUCGAGAGAAGGUGUCUGAGCUGGAAAAGUUGGUGUCCAAUCAGAAGUCUCGACUGAGUCAGUAUCUGGACAACAGAACAGCUCUGAAACACUCUCUGAGAAUCAAGUCUCAGUCUUUGCUGCAGCUGCGCUCUGAGAUGUUUUCUCUCCAGUCUGAGCUGCAGUGUCUGUAUUCCACUCAGCAGGCGGAGCUACAGGCCGAAAGAGAUCUCAGUCGCACACUACAGGAGAAAUGUUGGCACCUGGAAGAGAGUUUGAAACGGCUCCAGGAUGAGGCAGAAGUGAGACUCAGGGAAGUUUAUCUGGAGUCACAGCAGAUCACAGAGAACAUGGACGAGGACCACAGAGGGCUCUGCUCUAAAUCUGAGAGCUUUAAUGGCCAGGCUGAGCCACAGAAACUCACAGAGCUUUCGCAAGAGGGGAGAAGACAGCACAUGGUCCACUUCAGCUCAGGAGAUUGUCUUUUGGGUUUUCUUUCGGGAUCGCCGGUGACCCGCUGUGUGGAAACGCACUGAGCCAUGCGUCAGUUGAAGGGCAAGCCGAAGAAGGAGUCAUGGAAGGACAAAAAGGAGCGCAAACAGGCCAUGCAGGAGGCGCGGGAGCAGGUGACAACCAUCGUUCUACCGACGCUCAUCUUGCUCGUGCUGCUCAUCGUCCUCCUCGUCUACGUGGCGACGAGACCCGGAGCCAUCGAGUAAAAAGACUCCAAAUAGCCAAAUCUCCUCUGCCCUUGUCUUUCUCUUUCAUUUCCCCUUGUUCCUUCACAAUGCAGAGUUCAGUGGAUGAAUUGGACACAGUCAUAAAGAUGAAUGGAUUGAUAAAGGAGUGCUUUUCUGUGUCAUGUUUGGAGUAUGUUGAAGGAGUCUUCCAUUUCGGCUUCUGACAGAGCACCUCUCCCAGCCACCAGCAUUCGCGUCUGUGGCAGCCAUGUUGGCUCCAAAUGCAUUUACAGGGUUCUAGUUUCAUGCCAAAGCACCUGAGACACAGCAGACUCAGACUGACCCAGGAACCGGGCCAGAUCUGAUGCCUCUGUGCUCAAAGUCAAUACAAAUGAGAAGUGACUGUAGUAUUGCACAUGUUUGUAGCAUGCAAAUGCACACACACACACAGAUCCACAAAUGAACAUUGAUGGGUGUCACAUGAAACCAUUUAUGACAGAAUUGUAUGUUACCCAGAAUGUAUACUUCUUAUUGCUCAUUACCGAAUCCCUUAACAAGCAGUUCCUGAUGUUUUUGGUUAAUGUGUGUGUGUGUGUGUGUAAGCAUAUGCACAAUGAAGUGCAUGUUUCUGUCACAUCUGUGAUAUACAAUCAAAGCAGCAAACGUACUCUUAUUUUAAAAUGUAUUCCAGCAGGACUUGGAUCUAAAAAUGUGCCUUAAUGUUUAAUGACAUAACAGCAUUUAAAGUAUUAAUAAAGAAAUAGAAAGCCAUGCUGACUGCUUUAAG